rnacentral:rRNA from 1 species
AUACGGAGGGUGCAAACGUUGUUCGGAAUUACUGGGCGUAAAGCGCGCGUAGGCGGUUUGUUAAGUCAGAUGUGAAAGUCCACAGCUCAACUGUGGAAGUGUGUUUGAAACUGGCAGACUUGAGUACUGGAGGGGGUGGUGGAAUUCCCGGUGUAGAGGUGAAAUUCGUAGAUAUCGGGAGGAAUACCGGUGGCGAAGGCGACCACCUGGCCAGAUACUGACGCUGAGGUGCGAAAGCGUGGGGAGCAAACAGGAUUAGAAACCCUAGUAGUCC